GUGGUUUUGUUUUUUUGUUUGUUUUUUUUUUUUUUGCAGUGUGAUUUUAGAAAAUUUUUAAAAUGGGCUCUAGUGGGAACACUUGUUACUAACUUGGACAUAGAUGGGAAUCUAACAUGAAUAGUUAAAGCUCUGUGAUUUACCUAAAUACAUAUCUACUCUAAACCUGGGGAAAAGUGGUGUGGCAUGUUGACUUGCCUAUUGAAUCCAUGUUGGGAAUCAUUUCCCAAUCGUAAGACUUCGUCGUAUUCUGUAGGGUAACUGCAAAUGUUCAGAGUAGCUUUUUGAAUUUGGUUCCCUUAGCUUGAGGGAUGUGACGUUAUAAUCCAAAAUGUUUAAUUAUGAAAACAGUAGUAAGUCUUCAAAAGCAUCUUCCUUUGUUGCUUAGGAUUUAAACUUUGCAUCGACUGUUGUUCCAGACCUCAAUUCAGCUGAACUUUUUGGUCUAUGAACUGGUUUUUAGCUACCAUGCAUGAGAAACAGCUUUCAUAAUGUUUUCUGCUCUGUAACUGAGAAGUUUGGUUUACUUUGCAUAAAUAUUGGUGAAACUCUUCAUGACUGAGAAUUUUCUUUCAUUAUAUCAAGAAAAAUGACUUGCCUUUUGGCAAGCAGUUCACAAGGUGGGGACAAAUUUGUGCUUAAUAUGUAGUCCAUUCAACCAAGUGACUUGGUUCUCCUGCUAGGUAAAAGAGCAAAUGGUGACUAGUUUAGCUCUCUAUAUUAGUAACACAAUGCACAUCAAACAAUACUCAGUGACAUUCUUGACAUUCUGCAACCCUGAUAGGGUUUUUCCCAUGGGAUAAUCCAUUAUGGUGGCCAAUAAUUGCUACCAUGGUUCAGUGAUUGUUUAGAAAUAAAAGGUCAGAUUUAUUUCUUAACAGUCAGUAACAAUCUUGAGAGAAUGUACUUGUUAAAAUACAUAUAUGGACAUCAUUCGGGUGGGGGGUUAAUUUUGCUUCAUUCUACUUAUUUCAAGACGAAUAGGCUUUUGCACUUUCAAUGAGAAACCUGUGACUUAAGUUGAUUCUAACUAGGUUUGAUUUGUAAGUAGCUAUAAUUUGUGAAUCUUAGUGCAGAAGGUCUUUUUAAAAGAUCAGUCAAAAGGCUGGGGAUUAAGUGGGUUUCAGUAAUAACUCUAUACUGAGGUGCUUGCAUUGUAUUUCAUAGUCUUUUCUUAUUACAAACCAAAAUUACUAUUUUUAAUGAGAACGGUCUGAAGUUCAGAGGUGUGAUGCCAGAAUGUAUUUUCGUACUGUUAGGCCCUUGGAACAGAUACCGGUGCUUUAUGAAAGAUGAAAGAAAUGCAAUGGGUACUCUUCACAUAAGGUUGCAAAACCUACAAAGAAUGCUCAAUAGUCUCACUUUUCCCCAACGAACAGAUGCGUGUGACUAGUUUUGGACUUAUAACCUUAAUGGGGGUUGCAUGUUUCCUAUUGUUAAUCAUUGUCAGCUGCAGUGACAUGAUCCACAGUCCUGCAUUUACUGCCUUUCCCUUAAUGAUUUUGGACAGGUUCUAGAGAGCCGGGAUGUUUGCUCUGGGCCUUUACUUGGUUUUGGCUUUAGCUGAUACUGUUUCAGUGCUCUGUCAGCUAGUGCAGUUCCCAAAUGGCUGCCUCUUAGGGAAAGAACUCAGAGGAUUUGGCUGCUCCUAAUCAUCUGUCAUUGCUGCUAGAUAAUGAUUGGCAAUUUUUAAGACUCAACUGUGGAAAUCUCACAGUUGUUGGUAAACCAUCAAACAUAAAAAUGUUGCUUUUGAACACCAGUGCUGAAAAGAUUUUAUUUGGAGGGUGAAAAGGGGGAUGGAAGGCAGAAUAGAAUAAUCUGGAGAAUGGAGGAAGAAUGCAAAACGAUAUAGUAUCCCUUAUGGAUGGUACAUGUGCAACAGGGAACUGUUUCAUAUACCCUUGGCAGUCACUGAUAAUCAGGAAGGAAGAAAAACCUGGAAUUUGAGUUAAGGCUGAUCUUUCUGGUUUUUGUGCACUGUGGCCCUGCCAGAGAUAAUAUAGUGAAGGUGAAUGUCUUCUCCCUCAGAAAAAUUCAGGUUCCUUGCUGUCCUGAUAAGGCAUAGCUUCCCUGCCCUAAGUUAAAAACUCAGUGAGGACUUAAGAGGGAAAGAAUGAGGCCAAUACAUAGGAGUGCAGAUAACAACUGCAUUGUUGUGUACUGUGGAAUGGGGAGGGCACUCUUGGAGGACUCCUGCUGAAGGUGGUCAGUCCACCUGAGAAUGGAAGACAUACUUGGUGGGGAGCAGGGUAUGUGCUUUUAUAUGAAAAGAGCCGAUGUUAAAACUCAUUUGGUGAGGUAAACGUUGUCACAUACCUUCACAUAAGGGAUAGUAUAUUUUGGGUUGCAGUCAAACUUCAUUGUGCUCAGACUGGUGAAAAUAGUAGUUAGGCUUUUGUGUUUUAAAAGAAGAAACAGCUCUCAUUCCAAUUCAGGUGUCUACAACUACCUUACGUCAGAAUGAUUUUAGAUUUUUUUUCCCCCCCAUAAAGUUUCUUCCUAUUUUUUAUGCUGUAACUUGCCCCCCAAUCUUUGUCUCUGGAAUUUUACUCUUCAAAUUUUGAAAUUAACUAGCAUUUUCACAUCUUUUUGCCCUUGUCUUUUAUAUUAACUUUUUCUUAUUAUUCUUUAGGUAAGAAUGAUUGAUGUUGGCUGAUACUGGAGUGUUCAUUCACUUGAGGUAAGUUUUUUGGGAAGUCUUAACACAGAUUAACCUUAGAGGAUUUGGGGUUUGAUUUCUAUUUAAUGAUUUAAGCUAUGUGGAGUGAAAACUGAUUUUUAAGGUCUUCUCUUCUAAGAUAAUACUCCUAUGUUUUUGGUUUUUUAAAUAGGUGUGUGCCUGUGGGUUUAAGUGGAUUGUAAUGAGAAAAGGUUGGGAAUAUUUAUUACAAAAUAGAGUUUAUUACAAAGUAGGAUUGAAAAAGAUGAAAGAUUUAGAGAAGAUGUAGAGAAAACAUAGAAGAUAGAGAAGUCUUUUUUUGCCACACCCAUAGCAUGUGGAAGUUCCUGGGCCUGGGGUCUCAACCCAAGCCACUGCAGUGAUUCCACCAGAUCCCAAACAUGCUGUGCCACAAGAGAACUCCAAAAGAAGUUUUGAAUUUAGAAAUGCUGUAUUUUCAUUAAUUCUACAUUUAGUUUUUUGAACUAAUUCUCUUGAGACUCCUUUUUACGUAAAAUGUAAGAAACAACUGUCUAGUCAUUGGGAGUAUAGUUUACCGUUGAACAUGGGUUUGGUUUCCAGAGUUCACACACCCAUAGCAACAUGUGGCUCAGUGGAAAUGAAUCUGACUAGCCUCCAUGAGGAGGCAGGUUCUAUCCCUGGCCUCACUCACUCACGGCAACACCAGAUCCUUAACCCCCUGAGCAAGGCCAGGGAUCAAAAACCUCAUGGUUCCUAGUUGGAUUCGUUAACCACUGAGCCACGACAGGAACCCCACCUCUAAUCCCUCCUGUUCAAGGGUCAACUGCAUUUGAAGAAAAUUUAGGCGAGUAUAACCUUGGUGUGGGCCAGGUUUUUUGUAAGCACUAGUGUAGCCCAAAAAACCAACAGUGUUGGAACCUGUGCCAAAAUACAUACCUAUUAUUGAUACCAGAAUAAAAUAUACAUGUUAAAAAUGAAUAAAUGUAAUACAUGUUUUGGGUUUGGGGGUGGUAUUUUCCCACACCCAUACCCAUAGCAUGCGGAAGUUCCCAAGGAUCAAAUCCGUGCCAUAGGUACAGCUGGAUCCUUAAACCCCUGAGUUGCAGGGGAACUUCUGCUGA
ensembl:lncRNA